rnacentral:lncRNA from 1 species
GAGGAGAAGGCUGCUGGGGCUGCUGGGCAAUUCCCUCAAUGCCGGGAAUGGCUGACUGGGAGUGACAGGUUCUCCUUUUGUUUUGGACGUGGUUGUGUCCGGUUGUGACCUGAUAGCCACAUUGUGACCACCAGGAGAACCCAGCAGAGUAGAGAUGUGGAAACAUCUGGGUCCUAGCAACCACCACGGAGCCCCUGAAUUAACUACCCCUGGAGCUGCCCGGUCUUUGGACUUCUGCUCGUUACCGGAACUGUGAAUUUCCUUUUUGUUUUAGUCUUUCUAAGCGGAGUUUGCUGUUGCUUUCCGCGAAAUGUUCCCCAGCUGCCUCCCAGCCUGGUUGUCCAACAAUUCCGUGGUGACUCACUCUGCUUUUCAGCAAAUUCUUCUCCUGCUUAAGUCAGCCAGAGUCGAUUUCGUUUACUUGCAGCCUAGAACCCUGAUGAUCAAGAGGAGCGUCUGAAGGCGGGCCUGUCUGCCAACAGGACAAGUGGUGUUGAGACAGGAAUGAGGGAGUGUGCUUGGAGACAGAGAUGAAAGAAGGUGGAGCUCCAAGGGUUCCAUCCCCUCAGUUCACAGGACAAGAGCACAGCAGGGGUCAGACCUGAAGUGAUUUGAAUACCCAGCAGAAGAAUGUUGACUUUAUGCUUAAAGUCAUGAGAUUGUGACCAAUAGUGUCAUCGACUGGAAUUUACAGUGUAGGGACUUUGCCUGGACAUGGAACUUAGGGGCCUUGGGGAGGAGACUCUGGCAUCCUCUGAGCUCCUACUGUGGGCCAGUUGGGUCCCCACACUGUCUCUGCUAAUUCACACAGCUCCCCUCUGAGCGAAAUUAAUCUCUUUCAGACCAGAGGCCCAGGGUGCAAAUCAGGAAGCCACGUGCCCACCAGACAGCUGGUCAGGGGCACAGCGAGAAUUGACAGACACCAGCCCAGGCUUUUCCAGUUGCGUCCUGCUGCCUCCCCAUGCUUUAGAAGAGAGUUUGCACCCCGGGUCUGGUCCUGCCCAAAUCGUCCGUGCUGCUCCAGGAAGGAAGAAACCUCUACACUGAUCAGCAAACUGUUUCUGUAACCCACUGCCCAGGUCACUAGCUUUAAGGCUGUCUCGUCUCAGGGCUCUGAAGCUGAUAAGUGAUAUUCCAUCUUUUUAUGCGGCAUUAAUUUCACUAAAGCUUUUGCCAGAUGUCGAUGCUUGUCUGUGUGUAAUAAAGGAAGCUGAAGACAUUUUAGAGCACUGUGGGAGAAAGGUCAAACUCUUCCAGGCUCUCAGAGCAGCUGGGGUAGAUCUUAGACCCUGGCCUGGAAGGCAGAGUCUGGAAGCUGUACUGCCUCUACAGGUGGGGGGACCUGCCAGGAAUCUCUAAGCUGAGCUCACUGCCAGCCUUCUCAGCCUGAGCAGGAUGCACAGGAUGUGGGAGCCAUGAUGCUGUUGUAGAAGCCCAUGGGAAGCAGCAGAUCCUGCCCCCUGCAGGGGCUGGGCCCUCCGUGGAGAGAUGCUAUUUGAUUCUGUCGGUCACCCCUAAGGCGCCACGGUCCUGGCCAGCGACUCCAGCCGGCUCCCCAGGCGGUAACUCUGCUCCAGCGAUCCCAGUGCAGCCAAAAUCUUCCACGGGCUGAGAGCCAGCAGCCUCUUCUGGCCGUUCAGGAGCUGCCUGGCUGCUUCUGCCUCUAUCAGAAAGUUCUGGCGUGAGUUUACACUGCCAGGUUCAUCUGGAAACACACCAGGUGGCCAGGGCUCUUAGCAAGGACACCUGCGCCAUCUCAUGUCAGCCUCCUGUCGCAUCAGGGCUGGGGCCCUUGUCUGUGCACACAGAUUCACAGCAAACACGUGUCUCCACCAAAGCCACACACUUGUACACAGGCGGAGAGAGGUCGCUCUGGCUCGUCCUCCCACCCUGCCUUUCUUUCUGGUCCACACGCCUCGCAAAGUUGUGGCAAAGGCAUGCCUUUGGGAUCCCGGUCCCCAGUGCCCACAGAUGGAGGCCACAUGGAGGCCACGGAACCUGGGGAGGGGCAGGAACUCAGAGAGCACCCAGAGGGGUAAAGCGCCCAGGGGCCCCCCCUGGAUAACACACAGCCUGGGCGAGACUCCAGAACCCCCGCCCCAGGCACAGCGGUGUUCACAACACGAUGAGGAGGACGGAGUAUCGAGCGGUUGUCCUGGGCCAUAGUCAAAAGAUGCAAUCUGGCAGAAGCCGGUUUUCCUGCAAGUAUUUCCUGUGACGUUACCCCCAGGAAGGGGCGCUUUGAAUGUAGUGUUGCCGGAACUCGGCCUCUUUCAUCGGUGCCGACUAGAAAUGCAGAGACAGUGUUUGGGGCGAAGGAGAAAAAACAGCUUUAUUGCUUUACCAGGCAAAGGAGAGUUACAGCAGGCUCAUGCCUCAAAGACCAUGCCCCCUCAGGAGAGACUGGGGGAGAAGAACGGGGCUGCAGAUAAGGAUCGGGGAUUGGUGAGCUGGCGUUGUCUUCCAAGCUGGUGUCUGGCGGUCUGGUGGUGGUCUUUCCGGAAUGAAGGCGGCUUCCUGCACACCGUCCAUGUGUUGGGCGGUGUCCUUCUGUGGAAGAACUCAGAGAUAUCGUUGUCUGUGUUCCUGGAGGAGGGGCCAGGACCUGCCCCCAGACCACCGCUGUCAUUUCUUGACGGCUCCUCUCGGGCCUCUGCAUCCCCUCCCUUCCCCCUGUUAGCAACUGUUUGAACCUGCCCCUUGGAGCUCAGGGGAGGUCCUGGAGGCCAAGGCUUACUCCCUAAAAAGAAGCAAUGGGGGACACAGAAAGGUCUGUGUGCCCAGGAGCCCCACGGGGCACUCGCUCGGUUACAGCAGUGACAUUCCGCUGUCACCAUGCCACGUCCCACGUGAUUGUGAAUUCUUGGGGCCCAUUUCCAGAGGCAUUCACUUAAAUAUUGAUUGAAAGUUUUGCUCUGUCCUAGGCCCUGCUCUGGGCACUGGUGAUAUAAGAGCGACCGAGAGACAUAGGCCACUGGCCUCAUGGGGCUGACGUUUUAGAGGAAAACAGUGAGGGCCAUGCCAGGGGCGGGUGCUGCCACUUACCUGCCCUCUCAGCAGUUUGGGAAGAGCAGCCACGGGCCUUAGCAUCUGCCUUUGCCAGGCUCCACUCACAGUAGGCUUCUUGGGCUUUUAUAAGAUAAACAAGUGGGAAAUAAAAUAAGAUCUGGGAGUUCCCUGGUGGCUCAGUAGGUGCAGGGUCUGGUGUUGUCACUGCUGUGGCCCAUUUGAUCCCUGGUCCUGGAACUUCUUCAUGCCAUGAGUAUGGCCAAAACAUAAAAAUUUGAGGAGUUCCCAUCGUGGCGCAGUGGUUAACGAAUCCGACUAGGAACCAUGAGGUUGCGGGUUCGGUCCCUGCCCUUGCUCAGUGGGUUAACGAUCCGGCGUUGCCGUGAGCUGUGGUGUAGGUUGCAGACGCGGCUCGGAUCCCGCGUUGCUGUGGCUCUGGCGUAGGCCGGUGGCUACAGCUCCGAUUCGACCCCUAGCCUGGGAACCUCCAUAUGCCGCAGGAGCGGCCCAAGAAAUAGCAACAACAACAACAACAACAACAAAAAAGACAAAAGAAAAAAAA